AAUUGACGGGACCCCGCACAAGCGGUGGAGUAUGUGGUUUAAUUCGAAGCAACGCGAAGAACCUUACCAGGUCUUGACAUGGUGUUUAAGGCCCUAGAGAUAGGGAGAUAAUAAACACACACAGGUGGUGCAUGGUUGUCGUCAGCUCGUGUCGUGAGAUGUUGGGUUAAGUCCCGCAACGAGCGCAACCCUUGUCUUUAGUUACCAUCAUUCAGUUGGGGACUCUAGAGAGACUGCCGGUGAUAAACCGGAGGAAGGUGGGGAUGACGUCAAAUCAUCAUGCCCCUUAUGACCUGGGCUACACACGUACUACAAUGGCGCAUACAACGAGCUGCGAGAUGGUGACAUCAAGCGAAUCUCUUAAAAUGCGUCUCAGUUCAGAUUGGAGUCUGCAACUCGACUCCAUGAAGUCGGAAUCGCUAGUAAUCGCGGAUCAGCAUGCCGCGGUGAAUACGUUCUCGGGGUUU
rnacentral:rRNA from 1 species